rnacentral:rRNA from 1 species
UACGAAGGGAGCUAGCGUUGUCCGGAUUCAUUGGGCGUAAAGAGCUCGUAGGCGGUUUGUCGCGUCUGCCGUGAAAGUCCGGGGCUCAACUCCGGAUCUGCGGUGGGUACGGGCAGACUAGAGUGAUGUAGGGGAGACUGGAAUUCCUGGUGUAGCGGUGAAAUGCGCAGAUAUCAGGAGGAACACCGAUGGCGAAGGCAGGUCUCUGGGCAUUAACUGACGCUGAGGAGCGAAAGCAUGGGGAGCGAACAGG